AGGGCCAUUGAUCCCAAACCCGGCAAACGCAACAGAUUCUAGGCUCAAGAAAUCUACUGCUUACUGCAGACAGUACUUCAGUGAGUCUCUGUCUUGUGGAUUCAAGAUAUGUCGAUUCCAGCAUGUGCCUGUGGACGGGGAUGAGAAGUUCUGUGUUGAAACUGUGAUGCGGUUCAUCAACAAUCCAAUGUGUCU